UUUAUGAAGGUUGGAUAGUGCGUUUUGGAUGUCCCGUUAGGUUAACUAGUGACCAAGGUACCCAGUUCGAGAGUCAUCUCUUCAACUCACUUCUAAAG